UACGGGGGGGGGCAAGCGUUGUUCGGAAUUACUGGGCGUAAAGGGCUCGUAGGCGGCCAACUAAGUCGGAUGUGAAAUCCCCAGGCUUAACCUGGGAACUGCAUCCGAUACUGGAUGGCUUGAAUCCGGGAGAGGGAUGCGGAAUUCCAGGUGUAGCGGUGAAAUGCGUAGAUAUCUGGAGGAACACCGGUGGCGAAGGCGGCAUCCUGGACCGGCAUUGACGCUGAGGAGCGAAAGCCAGGGGGAGCAAAACGGG
rnacentral:rRNA from 1 species